UACGUAGGGUCCGAGCGUUGUCCGGAAUUACUGGGCGUAAAGAGCUCGUAGGUGGUUUGUCGCGUUGUUCGUGAAAACUCACAGCUUAACUGUGGGCGUGCGGGCGAUACGGGCAGACUAGAGUACUGCAGGGGAGACUGGAAUUCCUGGUGUAGCGGUGGAAUGCGCAGAUAUCAGGAGGAACACCGGUGGCGAAGGCGGGAUCCUGGGCCAGUACUGACGCUGAGGAGCGAAAGCGUGGGGAGCAAACAGG
rnacentral:rRNA from 1 species